rnacentral:rRNA from 1 species
GCGCGGUAAUACGGAGGAUCCGAGCGUUAUCCGGACUUUUGGGUUUAAGGGUCCGUAGGCGGGAUAAUAAGUCAGUGGUGAAAGUUUGUGGCUCAACCAUAAAAUUGCCAUUGAUACUGUUAUUCUUGAGUUAUUGUGAAGUGGUUAGAAUGUGUAGUGUAGCGGUGAAAUGCAUAGAUAUUACACAGAAUACCAAUUGCGAAGGCAGAUCACUAACAAUGAACUGACGCUGAUGGACGAAAGCGUAGGUAGCGAACAGGAUUAGAUACCCUGGUAGUCUACGCAGUAAACGAUGGUUACUAGCUGUUUGGCAUAAUUGAGUGCUGAGUGGUUAAGCGAAAGUGAUAAGUAACCCACCUGGGGAGUACGUUCGCAAGAAUGAAACUCAAAGGAAUUGACGGGGGCCCGCACAAGCGGUGGAGCAUGUGGUUUAAUUCGAUGAUACGCGAGGAACCUUACCAGGGCUUAAAUGCAGUCUGACAGGGGUGGAAACACCUUUUUCUUCGGACAGAUUGCAAGGUGCUGCAUGGUUGUCGUCAGCUCGUGCCGUGAGGUGUCAGGUUAAGUCCUAUAACGAGCGCAACCCCUAUGGUUAGUUGCUAGCAGGUCAUGCUGAGAACUCUAGCCAGACUGCCGGUGUAAACCGCGAGGAAGGUGGGGAUGACGUCAAAUCAUCACGGCCCUUACGUCCUGGGCUACACACGUGCUACAAUGGUAUGUACAAUGAGCAGCCACCACGCGAGUGGGCGCAAAUCUCAAAAGCAUAUCACAGUUCGGAUCGGAGUCUGCAACUGGGCUCCGUGAAGCUGGAAUCGCUAGUAAUCGCACAUC